UACGUAGGGGGCAAGCGUUGUCCGGAAUCAUUGGGCGUAAAGAGCGUGUAGGCGGCCCCGUAAGUCCGCUGUGAAAGUCAAAGGCUCAACCUUUGAAAGCCGGUGGAUACUGUGGGGCUAGAGUCCGGAAGAGGCGAGUGGAAUUCCUGGUGUAGCGGUGGAAUGCGCAGAUAUCAGGAGGAACACCAAUAGCGAAGGCAGCUCGCUGGGACGGUACUGACGCUAAGGCGCGAAAGCGUGGGGAGCGAACAGG
rnacentral:rRNA from 1 species